GUUGCUGCUGUUGCCCUCUAGAUGGCGCCCAGCCCUCUGAGCAAUAGUGCAGGACACCGGCCCAGAGACCGCACAGCUCCGGAGAGCUUCGAGGGCCAAGUCUGCAGUUUGGUUGCUUCCUCCUGAAAUCAACGUGGGAGUCUUAAAAGCGCGGGGAGAAUAGUCUACUCAGCAGGGAGCAUUUCGGGAUGAUGCAGCCAUUCAUAGGAAGCAUGGAGAGGCUUGAACUGGACCAUGUGGUGCUGGAGAGGCCAUUGCACUGACUGGCAAGAGAAGACCUGCUUCAUCGUGGUCCACACAGCAAUUUCCCUGGCUUCACUCAAGGCUAACUGUCCUCCAGCAAAACACCCCUCUUCUCCUCCCACAGAUGAAGCAGAUGAGUAAAACUGAGGCUCCGUAAGGUACUCAUCCGAAAUCAGGCAGAAGAGUUUUGCUCUUGUCGCCCAGACUGGACUGCAAUGACGUGAUCUCAGCUCACUGCAACCUCUGCCGCCCGGGUUCAAGAGAUUCUCCUGCCUCAGCCUCCUGAGUAGCUGGGAUUACAGGCUUCUCUGAAAGAGGUCAAGAAAGCCCCUGCCUCUCACCUCUGCAGAUAGCCAUCCAGUCCCAGACGAAGCGGCUAUUUAUGCAG